rnacentral:rRNA from 1 species
CCUCGAAUCAGGUGGGACUACCCGCUGAACUUAAGCAUAUCAAUAAGCGGAGGAAAAGAAACUAACAAGGAUUCCCCUAAUAACUGCGAGUGAAGCGGGAAAAGCUCAAAUUCAAAAUCUGGCAGUCUUUGGCUGUCCGAGUUGUAGUCUGGAGAAGCGUCUUCCGCGCUGGACCGUGUACAAGUCUCCUGGAACGGAGCGUCAUAGAGGGUGAGAAUCCCGUCUUUGACACGGACUACCAGUGCUUUGUGAUGCGCUCUCAAAGAGUCGAGUUGUUUGGGAAUGCAGCUCAAAAUGGGUGGUAAACUCCAUCUAAAGCUAAAUAUUGGCGAGAGACCGAUAGCGAACAAGUACCGUGAGGGAAAGAUGAAAAGAACUUUGGAAAGAGAGUUAAACAGUACGUGAAAUUGUUGAAAGGGAAACGCUUGAAGUCAGCCGCGUUGGUCUGGGAUCAGCCCCGCAGAUGCGAGGUGCAUUCCCUGAUCAACGGGCCAGCAUCAAUUCUGACCGGCGGAGAAAGUUCAAGGGAAUGUGGCAUCCUCGGAUGUGUUAUAGCCUUUGAUCGCAUACGCCGGUUGGGAUUGAGGAACUCAGCACGCCGUAUGGCAGGGUGUUCUGCACCACUUCCGUGCU